UACGUAGGGGGCAAGCGUUGUCCGGAAUUAUUGGGCGUAAAGAGCUCGUAGGUGGCUUGUCACGUCGGGUGUGAAAGCUUGGGGCUUAACUCCAGGUCUGCAUUCGAUACGGGCAGACUAGAGGUAUGCAGGGGAGAACGGAAUUCCUGGUGUAGCGGUGAAAUGCGCAGAUAUCAGGAGGAACACCGGUGGCGAAGGCGGUUCUCUGGGCAUGAUCUGACGCUGAGGCGCGACAGCGUGGGGAGCAAACAGG
rnacentral:rRNA from 1 species